UACGGGGGGGGCAAGCGUUGUUCGGAAUUACUGGGCGUAAAGGGCUCGUAGGUGGUCAACUAAGUCAGACGUGAAAUCCCUCGGCUUAACCGGGGAACUGCGUCUGAUACUGGAUGGCUUGAGAUUGGGAGAGGGAUGCGGAAUUCCAGGUGUAGCGGUGAAAUGCGUAGAUAUCUGGAGGAACACCGGUGGCGAAGGCGGCAUCCUGGACCAACACUGACACUGAGGAGCGAAAGCCAGGGGAGCAAACGGG
rnacentral:rRNA from 1 species